CAGUAGCCGCGGUAAAACGAAGGGUGCAAGCGUUAAUCAGAAUUACUGGGCGUAAAGCGUGCGUAGGCGGUUUGUUAAGUCUGCUGUGAAAUCCCCGGGCUCAACCUGGGAAUGGCAGUGGAUACUGGCAAGCUAGAGUGUGUCAGAGGAUGGUGGAAUUCCCGGUGUAGCGGUGAAAUGCGUAGAGAUCGGGAGGAACAUCAGUGGCGAAGGCGGCCAUCUGGGACAACACUGACGCUGAGGCACGAAAGCGUGGGGAGCAAACAGGAUUAGAUACCCCCGUAGUCCCUGUCUCUUAUAC
rnacentral:rRNA from 1 species